rnacentral:rRNA from 1 species
AGGACGAACGCUGGCGGCGCGCUUAACACAUGCAAGUCGAACGGGGCUCUUCGGAGUUCAGUGGCGAACGGGUGCGUAACACGUGAGUGACCUGCCCUGGUACGGGGGAUAACCCGGGGAAACCCGGGCUAAUACCGCAUGCGCUCUCUGGGCUUCCGGGCCUGGGGGAGGAAAAGUGCUUUCGGGCACUGUGCGAGGAGGGGCUCGCGGCGUAUCAGGUAGUUGGUGAGGUAACAGCUCACCAAGCCGAUGACGCGUAGGGGGUCUGAGAGGAUGGCCCCCCACAUUGGACUGAGAUACGGCCCAGACUCCUACGGGAGGCAGCAGUGGGGAAUCUUGCGCAAUGGACCGAAAGGCUGACGCAGCGACGCCGCGUGCGGGAUGACGCUUUCGGAGUGUAAACCGCUGGUCGGGUGGAAGAACGGUCCCGGGAGGAAAUGACCCGUGGGAUGACGGACCGACCAAAGGAGCACGGACUAACGUCGACGCCAGCACGCCGAC